rnacentral:lncRNA from 1 species
GACAGUAAACAAGUUUCAGUUAUAUUUAACUUUAAGUGGUACAUCUGCAAUAAAGUAAGGAUUUUUUGGUUGUCGUUUGGCAGUAGAUUCAUCUACAAAUCUCUGUACACACCAGCCCCCUUCAUGGAUACAAUAUAAGACAACACUAUUUUAGAAAAUAAGCUCCUUAGCUGAUAAAGAGUUAUCUAUUUCUAUUUCUAAGAGAUGCCUGAGGUGGUGGAUCCAGACGCCUAUCCUGACAUUUGGGAAGAUAGGCUUAUCAUUUUAUUGGGCUCUGCAACCCAGCUGCGAACAUGCUAAAAAAAUAACUUUCAGAAAAUAACAAGAAAGGAAAAGCUGUUUGCUUGUCCUACACAUCAUUGUGUUCUAGUCUCUAGAGGAUGUGCAGGUGUGAUGUUAUUUCCCAGGAAUACUUGGAAAUAUUUUGAGGGAAAUCUGUAGCACUCCCCCAGAACUCCUUACAAGCAAAAUACAGAGAUGAAAUUUUUUUUCUCCAGAUGGAGAUGGAAUUUCCUUUCAUUGACAGUAGACACUUCCUUCUGUUACCAUGUGCCCUAGUAGAUGAUGAAUUCUUCUGUCAUCUCAGAUGAUUAUUGUCCUCCUGGCCUCAUGCAAGUUACUUCUCUCAAGAUUUCUUCUCAUCAAACAACUUAAAAUAAGGAGAUCACUUAGUCAUUCUAGGUGUUAGCUCUGGAUAAGAUAUAAUAAUAUCUAUUUUUUUUGGAAUAACAGUGAUGUUUUAUGAGUAAACAGCUCAUUACAAUGCCUGGUAUACAGUAGGUGCUCAAUAAAUGAGAGCUGAUAUCACAAUAAAAUUCACCACCACUUCGACUAUCACUGCCAUUACUUCUGUUGCUGUCAGCAUCACCAAGCAUCUUAAGCACAAAACCAUUCUACCAUUUUUUUCUGUGAAAAAAAAAAGUUGGGUCAUAUUUAAAAUACAUCAUAAUUCACUUAUGGGAGUCUAUGACAGAAUACACAGAAAUUAAAGAAUAGUAAACAAUUAGGUCAAUUGAUGAUUCCGUAGAUGAUCGAAGAACUAAAUUUAUACUAGUCUUCCAUUGCAUAUGCCUUAGCAGCUAUCUGAUUCCUAACGUGAAACAUAUUUAUGUACUCUACUUCAUUCUAAGAGUCUCUAUUUAUAUCUUCAUUUUUAAAAAAGUAUUAUGGUGGUGGGGGAGUGGGAUGGACUGGAAGUGUGGGGUUAAUAGAUGCAUACUAUUGCAUUUGGAGUGGAUAAGCAAUGAGAUCCUGCUGUAUAGCACAGGGAACUAUAUCCAGUCACUUUUGAUGGAACAUGAUGGAGGAUAAGGUGAGAAAAAAAUAUAUAUAUACAUAUGCAUGACUGGGUCGCUUUGCUGUACAGUAGAAACUGACAGAACACUGUAAAUCGACUAUAAUGGAAAAAAAUAAAAAUCAUAAAGUAUUAUGAAAAUGAAAAAUAAGAUGAUGUUUCAGCAUCUAGUAUCAAUGUCAACAUUUGCAGGAUUCAGAAAAUGUCAAUAAACACACUUGGAAUAUAACAUGAAUCAUUCGCUUCAAGGAGAAAGUUAUGCAAGCAUUUGAGAAUCUAACUACAAAUGGAAUCCAAACAAGAAGACAAGGGUAGCUCUUCUCUGCAAGAUGAAUCCUUCUAAAAAGGGUGUUUUAAACAAAAGAUGUAGGGGGGAGUCAUUGGAAAUAAAAAAUAUGGCCAGAUCUGGUCUACAGGAACGGUAGUCAUGCUUCACUGAGGUCUUCUGCGAGAUGAUCUAGCUGCUGAUACAGUGGUGAGGAGUGUGACUUCAUUGAUUCAAUACAAGUCCCAGAGGCAUAAUCAGGAGACAAACAUGUAGUUCUCACUUUACAUAAGUAGAGCAUAGAAGAAAGUUUCCUGGGCCCUCUACGUUUACUCACCUCUUACAUACAUAGUUCCGUAUUGAGUAAAAUCUAGCAGGUGUCCUGACUACUGUUUUAGUUAUGUCAUCCUUGGGUUAAAAUUCCUUUAAAAAGGAUAAGAUACUAACGCCUUUGCUGACUGAAGGAUUAAGUCUUGGUAAAUUCACUCAACAAACAAAGGCUUCCUAAGUAUGGAUUUUAUACCUUUGCAUUGGCACUGACUAUGUAGAAAUAAAAAAGACAACGAUGCUAUACUGGACCCUACAUGUGAAUAAAGAAUGGCUAUAUGUAUAUGUAUACUGAUUCACUUUGCUGAAACCUGAAACUAAUACAGAGAGCACUGUGAGUCAGCUACACUCCCAUAAAUUUUUUUUUAAAAAGAUACAAACAGGAAAAAAAAGACAACUCUAUCAGCUUUCAUACAUUCUGUAAAAGUAUGAGACUUCAAAAAAAAAAAAAAAAGCAGAUUUGAACAGUAAGACACAAUUUUUAAAACAGUAAAUCAAGAGAUGACACCUCCCCAGUUUAGUCAAUGGUUAAAUUGUGUCUCCAAAAACCUAGGGGUUUUCCAUAGUCCCACUAGCCUCAGAUUUUAAUGAUAGUUUCUCCCUUAAGAAAAAAUGACUGCAGCAGCUCCUGUGCUUGGCACUGAACCUCACCCUAUAAUAAUCAAAAGCAGGAAGGGAUUGGCAGGCCUCGGGUGUGUCUCUUUAUCACAAAAGAAAAACUUUCUCAUAUAUCCUCUUCUGUCUCAUUGGCCAGGACUGGGUUACCUGCCAAGGUUUGGCAGCAGGGGACUCAGGGAGCUGACUGAACCACUGUGGUGGGACCUGGGCUCCAUCAGUAGGAACUUAGGAGGCUGCGGAAGGCUGUAGCACAACUAGCAUAGUCUUGCCAGAAUGUGAUUCCUCUUCUGGACAUACUGGCAUAGUCACUGAACCAAAUACAUCUGGUGUGCAAGUCUUUAUCUCAGGAGGCAAAGAUCAAUAGGACUUCGUAGGUUAGGAGUUAGAUAGGAAUUUGAAUUUUAUUACAGGUGGAAUGGGGACUUUUGGGAUGGGUUGGUUGAACAUUCACAUGGGCUACAAUCUAUGCUAGAAACUUUCACUUGGAACAUUUUAUAUAAUUUCUUAUAA